rnacentral:pre_miRNA from 1 species
CAAGUACUCCCUCCAUCCCAAAAUUCUUGUCUUAGAUUUGUCUAGAUAUGGAUGUAUCAUAUACAUCCGUAUCUAGACAAAUCUAAGACAAGAAUUUUGGGAUUGAGGGAGUAUAUA